CACAAGGAGUGCAUUUGUAUAAAGGACCAAGAUGAUAUCUGGUGCACACGACUUUCAUCAGCAGUAGGGUGGGGAGAGUGGGUGUACAAUGAGAAACCUGGGUUUUGUGACAUUUGAGUCUCUUCCCAACUUAGUGAGUCUGUCUGGAUCUCUGACUAACCAUAAGCAUGAAGGCUCUUAUCAAAAUAAACCACUAAUGAGGGGAAUCUGGUGACUGAUGGAGAUAAGCACAUUGCCUUUUACUGUGAGACACAGUUCCUGUUUUAAGGACUUUACAGUUUUUGCGGGGAGAUAAGACAAGUGCAUGGCCUUUAGAAUACAAUGCAUGAAAUGUCAAGAACAAGAAAAAUGGCGUGGUGUGCAGUGGAAAUUCAGAGGUUUCCAAAAGAUAAAGCUUGAACCAGAUCUGGAUUGAGUUCAUGGACAAUUUCAUGGGAGGAGAGAAGAAACACUACCACCUACCUUCUCUUUUGGGAUUGCCAUAAACCUCUGGAAAAGUCCAGGGCAGAUAUAAGAGCUUGUGUGGAAACCAUCUGAGCAAUAUACCAGUAGUCCAAUGGAUUAAAAACUAUUAAAAAGUUUUAACCUGAGGGGGUACCUUCAAGAUGGCAGAGGAGUAAGACAUGGAGAUCACCUUCCUCCCCACAAGUACAUCAGAAAUACAAUUACAGGUGGAACAACUCUUACAGAACACCUACUGAACGCUGGCAGAAGACAUCAGACUUCCCAAAAGGCAAGAAACUCCCCCACAGACCUGGGUAGGGCAAAAGGAAAAAGAAAAAACAGACACAAAUGAAUAGGGAUGGGACCUGCACCUCUGGGAGGGAGCUGUGAAGGAGGAAAAUUUCCCACACACUAGGAAGCCCCUUCACUGGUGGAGACAGGGUGUGGCUGAGGGGAAGCUUCGGAGCCACAGAGGAGAGCGCAGCAACAGGGGUGGGGAGGGCAAAGCAGAGAGAUUCCCGCACAGAGGAUCGGGGCUGACCAGCACUCACCAGCCUGAGAGGCUUGUCUGCUCACCCGCCAGGGCAGGCGGGGGCUGGGAACUGAGGCUCGGGCUUCGGAGGUCGGAUCCCAGGGAGAAGACUGGGGUUGGCUGCAUGAACACAGCCUGAAGGGGGCUAGUGCAUCAUGGCUAGCUGGGAGGGAGUCCAGGAAAAAGUCUGGAGCUGGCAAAGAGGCAAGAGACCAUUGUUUCAGGGUGCGCAAGGAGAGGGGAUUCAGAGCACUGCCUGAACGAGCUCCAGAGAUGGGCGCGAGCCAUGGCUAUCAGCGUGGACACCAGAGAUGGGCAUGAAAUGCUAAGCCUGCUGCUGCUGCAGCCACCAAGAAGCCUGUGUGCAAGCACAGGUCACUGUCCACAACCCCCCGGGAGCCCGUGCAGCCCACCACUGCCAGGGUCCCGUGAUCCAGGGACAACUUCCCCGGGAGAACACACGGCGCACCUCAGGCUGUUGCAACAUCACUCCAGCCUCUGCCACUGCAGGCUCACCCCGCAUUCUGUACCCCUCCCUCCCCCGGCCUGAGUGAGCCAGAGCCCCGGAAUCAGCUGCUACUUUAACCCCAUCCUGUCUGAGUGAAGAACAGAUGCCCUCAGGCGACCUACACGCAGAGGCGGGGCCAAAUCCAAAGCUGAACCCCAGGAGCUGUGCAAACAAAAAAGAGAAAGGGAAAUCUCUCCCAGCAGCCUCAGGAGCAGCAGAUUAAAUCUCCACAAUCAACUUGAUGUACCCUGCAUCUGUGGAAUACCUGAAUAGACAAUGAAUCAUCCCAAAAUUGAGGUGGUGGACUUUGGAAGCAACCAUAGACUUGGGGUUUGCUGUUUGCAACUGAUUUGUUUCUGAUUUUUAUGUUUAUCAUGGUAUAGUUUUAGUGCCUGUUAUCAUUGGUGAAUUUGUUUAUUGGUUUGGUUGCUCUCCUCUUUUUUUUAAAUUAUUUUUUAAAUUUUAUUUAGUUUUCUUUCUUUUUUUCUCCCUUUUCUUCUGAUCCGUGUGGCUGACAGGGUCUUGGUGAUCCGGCCUGGUGUCAGGUCUGAGUAUCUGAGGUCGGAGAGGUGAGUUCAGGACAUUGGACUACCAGAGACCUUCCAGUCCCACAUAAUACCAAUUGGCGAGACCUCUCCCAGAGAUCUCUGUCUCAAUGCUAAGACUCAGCUCCACACAAUGGCCAGCAGACUCCAGUGCUGGAUGCCCCAUGCCAAACAACUAGGAAGACAGGAACAUGACCCCACACAUUAGAAGGGAGGCUGCCUACAAUCAUACUAAGUUCACAGACACCCUAAAACACACCACUGGAUGUGGCCCUGCCCAAGAGAAAGACAAGAUCCAGCCCCACCCACCAGAAGACAGGCACCAGUCCCCUCCACCAGGAAGCCUACACAAGCCACUGAACCAACCACACCCACUGGGGGCAGACAGCAUCAACAACUGGAACUAUGAACCUGCAGCCUGGAAAAAGAAGAGCCCAAACACAGUAAGUUAAACAAAAUGGGAAGACAGAGAAAUAUGCAACAGAUGAAGGAGCAAGGUAAAAUCCCACCAAACAAAUGAAGACGAAAUAGGCAGUCUACCUGAAAGAGAAUUCAGAGUAAUGAUAGUAAAGAUGAUCCAAAAUCUGGGAAAUAGAAUGGAGAAAAUACAAGAAACGUUUAACAAGGACCUAGAAGAACUAAAGAGUAAACAAUGAAUGAUGAAUACACAAUAAAUCAAAUUACAAAUUCUCUAGAAGUAAUCAAUAGCAGAAUAACUGAGGCAGAGGAACGGAUAAGUGACCUGGAAGAUAAAAUAGUAGAAAUAACUACCACAGAGCAGACUAAAGAAAAAAGAAUGAAAAGAAUUGAGGACAGUCUCAGAGAUCUCUGGGGCAACAUUAAAUGCACCAAUUUUUGAAUUACAGGGGCCCCAGAGAAGAGGAGAACAAGAAAGGGUCUGAGGAAAUAUUUGAAGAGAUUAUAGUUGAAAACUUCCCUAACAUGGGAAAGGAAAUAGUCAAUCAAGUCCAGGAAGCUCAGAGAGUCCCAUACAGGAUAAAUCCAAGGAGAAACAUGCCAAGACACAUAUUAAUCAAACUAUCAAAUAUUAAAUACAAAGAAAAAGUAUUAAAAGCAGCAAGGGAAAAGCAGAAAAUAACAUAGAAGGGAAUCCCCAUAAGGUUAACAGCUGAUCUUUAAGCAGAAAAUCUGCAAGCCAGAAGGGAGUGGCAGGACAUAUUUAAAGUGAUGAGAGGGAAAAACCUACAACCAAAUUACUCUACCCAGCAAGGAUCUCAUUCAGAUUUGAUGGAGAAAUUAAAACCUUUACAGACAAACAAAAGUUAAGAUUAUUCAGCACCACCAAACCAGCUUUACAACAAAUGCUAAAGGAGCUUCUCUAGGCAGGAAACAUAAGAGAAGGAAAGACCUAUAAAAACAAACCCAAAACAAUUAAGAAAAAUGGUAAUAGGAACAUACAUAUUGAUAAUUACGUUAAAUAUAAAUGGAUUAAAUGCUCCAAUCAAAAGACGUAGACUGGCUGAAUGGGUACAAAAACAAGACCUGUGUAUAUGCUGUCUACAAGAGACCCACUUCAGACCUAGAGACAUGUACAGACUGAAAGUGAGGGGAUGGAAAAAGAUAUUCCAUGCAAAUGGAAAUCAAAAGAAAGCUGGAGUAGCAAUUCUCAUAUCAGACCAAAUAGACUUUAAAAUAAAGACUAUUACAAGAGACAAAGAAGGACACUACAUAAUGAUCAAGGGAUCAAUCCAAGAAGAAGAUAUAACAAUUGUAAAUAUUUAUACGCCCAACAUAGGAGUACCUCAAUACAUAAGGCAAAUGCUAACAGCCAUACAAGGGGAUAUCGACAGUAACACAAUCAUAGUAGGGGACGAUAACACUCCACUUUUACCAAUGGACAGAUCAUGCAAAUGAAAAUAAAUAAGGAAACACAAGCUUUAAAUGAUACAUUAAACAAGAUGGACUUAAUUGAUAUUUAUAGGACAUUCCAUCCAAAAACAACAGAAUACACUUUCGUCUCAAGUGCUCAUGGAACAUUCUGCAGGAUAGAUCAUAUCUUGAGUCACAAAUCAAGCCUUGGUAUUUUUAGGAAAAUUGAAAUCAUAUCAAGUAUCUUUUCCGAGCACAACGCUAUGAGACUAGAAAUCAAUUACAGGAAAAAAACUGUAAAAAAUACAAACACAUGGAGGCUAAACAAUACACUACUAAAUAGCCAAGAGAUCACUGAAGAAAUCAAACAGGAAAUCAAAAAACACGUAGAAACAAAUGACAAUGAAAACACGACAACCCAAAACCUAUGGGAUGCAGCAAAAGCAGUUCUAAGAGGGAAGUUUAUAGCAAUACAAUCCUAUCUGAAGAAACAAGAAAAAUCUCAAAUAAACAACCUAACUUUACACCUAAAGCAAUUAGAAAAAGAAGAACAAAAAACCCCAAAGUUAGCAGAAGGAAAGAAAUCAUAAAGAUCAGAUCAGAAAUAAAUGAAAAAGAAAUGAAGGAAAUGAUAGCAAAGAUCAAUAAAACUAAAAGCUGAUUCUUUGAGAAGAUAAACAAAAUUCAUAAACCAUCAGGCAGACUCAUCAAGAAAAAAAGGGAGAUGACUCAAAUCAACAAAAUUAGAAAUGAAAAAGGAGAAGUAACAACUGACACUGGAGAAAUACAAAGGAUCAUGAGAGAUUACUACAAGCAACUAUAUGCCAAUAAAAUGGACAACCUGGAAGAAAUGGACAAAUUCUUAGAAAAGCACAACCUUCUGAGACUGAACCAGGAAGAAAGAAAAAAUAUAAACAGACCAAUCACAAGCCCUGAAAUUGAAACUGUGAUUAAAAGUCUUCCAACAGGGCUUCCCUGGUGGCACAGUGGUUGGGAGUCUGCCUGCGAAUGCAGGGGACAAGGGUUCGAGCCCUGGUCUGGGAGGAUCCCACAUGCCGCGGAGCAACUGGGCCCGUGAGCCACAACUACUGAGCCUGCGCGUCUGGAGCCUGUGCUCCGCAACAAGAGAGGCCGCGAUAGUGAGAGGCCCGCGCACCGCGAUGAAGAGGGGCCCCCGCUUGCCGCAGCUGGAGAAGGCCCUCGCACAAAAACAAAGACCCAACACAGCCAAAAAUAAAUAAAUAAAUAAACAAUUUAAAAAAAGUCUUCCAACAAACAAAAGUGGCUUCACAGGCGAAUUCUAUCAAACAUUUAGAGAAGAGCUAACCCCUAUCCUUCUCAAACUCUUCCAAAAUAUAGCAGAGGGAGGAACACUCCCAAACUCAUUCUACGAGGCCAACAUCAACCUGAUAUUGAAACAAAAGAUGACACAUAAAAAGAAAACUACAGGCCAAUAUCACUUAUGAACAUAGAUGCAAAAAUCCUCAACAAAAUACUAGCAAACAGAAUCAAACAGCACAUUAAAGGAACACACACCAUGAUCAAGAGGGGUUUAUCCCAGGAAUGCGAGGAUUCUUCAAUAUAUGCAAAUCAAUCAAUGUGAAACACCAUAUUAACAAAUUGAAGGAUUAAAACCAUAUGAUCAUCUCAAUAGAUGCAGACAAAGCUUUGGACAAAAUUCAACACCCAUUUAUGAUAAAAACUCUCCAGAAAGUAGGCAUAGAGGGAACCUACCUCAACAUAAUAGAGGCCAUAUAUGAUAAACCCACAGCCAACAUCGUUCUCAAUGGUGAAAAACUGAAACCAUUUCCACUAAGAUCAGAAACAAGACAAGGUUGCCCACUGUCACCACUAUUAUUCAACAUAGUUUUGGAAGUUUUAGCCACAGCAAUCAGAGAAGAAAAAGAAAUGAAAGGAAUCCAAAUCGGAGAAGAAGAAGUAAAACUGUCACUGUUUGCAGAUGACAUUGUACUAUACAUAGAGAAUCCUAAAGAUGGUACCAGAAAACUACUAGAGCUAAUCAUUGAAUUUGGUAAAGUUGCAGGAUACAAAAUUAAUGCACAGAAAUCUCUUUCAUUCCUACACACUAAUGAUGAAAAAUCUGAAAGAGAAAUUAAGGAAACACUCCCAUUUACCACUGCAACAAAAAGAAUAAAAUACCUAGGAAUAAACCUACCUAAGGAGACAAAAGACCUGUAUGCAGAAAACUAUAAGGCAUUGAUGAAAGAAAUUAAAGAUGAUACCAACAGAUGGAGAGAUAUACCAUGUUCUUGGAUUGGAGGAAUCAAUAUUGUGAAAAUGGCUAUAGUACCCAAAGCAGUCUACAGAUUCAAUGCAAUCCUUAUCAAACUACCUAUGGCAUUUUUCACAGAAGUAGAAUAAAAAAUUUCACAAUUUGUAUGGAAACACAAAAGACCCCGAAUAGCCAAAGCAAUCUUGAGAAAGAAAAACGAAGCUGGAGGAAUCAGGCUCCCUGACUUCAGACUAUACUACAAAGCUACAGUAACCAAAAUAGUAUGAUACUGGCACAAAAACAGAAAUAUAGUUCAAUGGAACAGUAUAGAAAGCCCAGAGAUAAACCCUUGCACAUAUGGUCACCUUAUCUUUGAUAAAGUAGGCAAGAGUGCACAAUGGAGAAAAGACAGCCUCUUCAAUAGGUGAUGCUGGGGAAACUGGACAGCUACAUGUAAAAGAAUGAAAUUAGAACACUCCCUAACACCAUACACAAAAAUAAACUCAAAAUGGAUUAAAGACCUGAAUUUGGCCAGACACUAUAAAACUCUUAGAGGAAAACGUAGGCAGAACACUCUAUGACAUAAAUCACAGCAAGAUUCUUUUUGACCCACCUCCUAGAGAAAUGGAAAUAAAAACAAAAAUAAACAAAUGGGCCCUAAUGAAACUUAAAACUUUUGCACAGCAAAGGAAAUCAUAAACAAGAUGAAAAGACAACCCUCAGAAUGGGAGAAAAUAUUUGCAAAUGAAGCAACUGACAGAGGAUUAAUCUCUAAAAUAUACAAGCAGCUCAUGCAGCUUAAUAUCAAAAAAACAAACAACCCAAUCCAAAAAUGGGCAGAAGACCUAAAUAGACAUUUCUCCAAAGAAGAUGUAUAGAUUGCCAACAAACACAUGAAAGUAUGCUCAACAUCACUAAUCAUUAGAGAAAUGCAAAUCAAAACUACAAUGAGGUAUGACCUCACACCAGUCAGAAUGGCCAUCAUCAAAAAAUCUACAAACAACAAAUGCUGGAGAGGGUGUGGAGAAAAGGGAACCCUCUUGCACUGUUGGUGGGAAUGUAAAUUGAUACAGCCACUAUGGAGAACAGUAUGGAGGUUCCUUAAAAAACUAAAAAUAGAACUACCAUACAACCCAGCAAACCCACUACUGGGCAUAUACCCCUGAGAAAACCAUAAUUGAAAAUGAGUCAUAUACCACAAUGUUCAUUGUAGCUCUAUUUACAAUAGCCAGGACAUGGAAGCAACCUAAGUGACCAUUGACAGAUGAAUGGAUAAAGAAGAUGUGGCACAUAUAUACAGUGGAAUAUUACUCAGCCAUAAAAAGAAAUGAAAUGGAGUUAUUUGUAGUGAGGUGGAUGGAUCUAGAGUCUGUCAUACAGAGUGAAGUAUGUCAGAAAGAGAAAAACAAAUACCAUAUGCUAACACAUAUAUAUGGAAUCUAAAAAAAAAAUAAAAAGGAAUGGUUCUGAAGAACCUAGGGGCAGGACAGGAAUAAAGACGCAGAUGUAGAGAAUGGACUUGAGGACAUGUGGAGCGAGAAUGGUAAGCUGGGACGAAGUGAGAGAGUAGCCUUGACAUAUAUACACUACCAAAUGUAAAAUAGAUAGCUAGUGGGAAGCAGCCGCAUAGCACAGGGAGAUCAGCUUGGUGCUUUGU